AGAGUUUGAUCCUGGCUCAGGAUGAACGCUGGCGGCGUGCUUAACACAUGCAAGUCGAACGAAGCGGCUGCAGGGAUUCCCUUCGGGGAGGAACAGUAGCUGUCUGAGUGGCGGACGGGUGAGUAACGCGUGGGCAACCUGCCCCAUACCGGGGGAUAACAGCCGGAAACGGCUGCUAAUACCGCAUACGCCCAGGAGGCUGCAUAGCUUCCUGGGGAAAACUCCGGUGGUAUGGGAUGGGCCCGCGUCUGAUUAGCUCGUUGGCGGGGUAACGGCCCACCAAGGCGACGAUCAGUAGCCGGCCUGAGAGGGCGGCCGGCCACAUUGGGACUGAGACACGGCCCAGACUCCUGCGGGAGGCAGCAGUGGGGAAUAUUGCACAAUGGGGGAAACCCUGAUGCAGCGACGCCGCGUGAGCGAUGAAGUAUCUCGGUAUGUAAAGCCCUAUCAGCAGGGAAGAAAGUGACAGUACCUGACUAAGAAGCCCCGGCUAACUACGUG
rnacentral:rRNA from 1 species